rnacentral:rRNA from 1 species
AUGUUACCAACUGUAGAGUCUGCAGCUCACAAUACGCAACAAACUUAUGUACAAGUACUUCAAUAUGGAUGGAAAACAUGCAAAGAAAAGACACAAAAGCCAGCUAUUCUGAACAAACAAUUUAUUGUAAGUCUGCUUAUAUUUCAUCUUUCGUUCUGUCUUGCAACAAUGAAUCUCCUCUCCUCACUUCUUCCUUCUCCUAUCUUUCUUAUUAAAAAAAACGUAGUGUUCCCCUUUUCGUUCGACAUUCGUCCCACGUCGUGUCCACUUCAUUUGCAACCCCCACAUGGUCUAUCCGAUUUUACAUGCAAAUCAAGUCCCUAA